AUUGAACGCUGGCGGCAGGCUUAACACAUGCAAGUCGAGCGGAGAUGAGGUGCUUGCACCUUAUCUUAGCGGCGGACGGGUGAGUAAUGCUUAGGAAUCUGCCUAUUAGUGGGGGACAACAUUCCGAAAGGAAUGCUAAUACCGCAUACGUCCUACGGGAGAAAGCAGGGGAUCUUCGGACCUUGCGCUAAUAGAUGAGCCUAAGUCGGAUUAGCUAGUUGGUGGGGUAAAGGCCUACCAAGGCGACGAUCUGUAGCGGGUCUGCGAGGAUGAUCCGCCCCACUGGGACUGAGACACGGCCCAGACUCCUACGGGAGGCAGCAGUGGGGAAUAUUGGACAAUGGGGGGAACCCUGAUCCAGCCAUGCCGCGUGUGUGAAGAAGGCCUUAUGGUUGUAAAGCACUUUAAGCGAGGAGGAGGCUACUGAGACUAAUACUCUUGGAUAGUGGACGUUACUCGCAGAAUAAGCACCGGCUAACUCCGUGCCAGCCGCCGCCGUAAUAC
rnacentral:rRNA from 1 species